rnacentral:rRNA from 1 species
CUACGGGUGGCUCCAGUGAGGAAUUUUGCACAAUGGGGGGAACCCUGAUGCAGCAACGCCGCGUGGAGGAUGACGCAUUUCGGUGUGUAAACUCCUUUUAUAUGUCAAGAAAAUGACGGUAGCAUAUGAAUAAUCACCGGCUAACUCCGUGCCAGCAGCCGCGGUAAUACGGAGGGUGCAAGCGUUACUCGGAAUCACUGGGCGUAAAGGACGCGUAGGCGGGUUGGAAAGUCAGGUGUGAAAUCCUACAGCUUAACUGUAGAACUGCACUUGAAACUUCUAAUCUAGAGUAUGGGAGGGGGGGAUGGAAUUAGUGGUGUAGGGGUAAAAUCCGUAGAUAUCACUAGGAAUACCUAAAGCGAAGGCGAUCUCCUGGAACAUUACUGACGCUAAGGCGUGAAAGCGUGGGGAGCAAACAGGAUUAGAUACCCCCGUAGUC